UUAAGUUAAUAAGGGCGCACGGUGGAUGCCUUGGCACUAGAAGCCGAUGAAGGACGUGACUAACGACGAAAUGCUUUGGGGAGCUGUAAGUGAGCAAUGAUCCAGAGAUGUCCGAAUGGGGGAACCCGGCAGGUAAUGCCUGUCACUCAUUACUGUUAAGGUAAUGUAGAGGAAGACGCAGUGAACUGAAACAUCUAAGUAGCUGCAGGAAGAGAAAGCAAAAGCGAUUGCCUUAGUAGCGGCGAGCGAAACGGCAAGAGGGCAAACCGAAGAGUUUACUCUUCGGGGUUGUAGGACUGCAAUGUGGACUCAGAAUUUAUAGAAGAAUGACUUGGGAAAGUCAGCCAAAGAGAGUAAGAGCCUCGUAUUUUAAAUAGAUUCUGUACCUAGCAGUAUCCUGAGUACGGCGGGACACGAGAAAUCCCGUCGGAAUCUGGGAGGACCAUCUCCCAACCCUAAAUACUCUCUAGUGACCGAUAGUGAACCAGUACCGUGAGGGAAAGGUGAAAAGCACCCCGGGAGGGGAGUGAAAUAGAACCUGAAACCGUGUGCCUACAACAAGUUCGAGCCCGUUAAUGGGUGAGAGCGUGCCUUUUGUAGAAUGAACCGGCGAGUUACGAUAUGAUGCGAGGUUAAGUUGAAGAGACGGAGCCGUAGGGAAACCGAGUCUUAAUAGGGCGCAUUAGUAUCAUGUCGUAGACCCGAAACCAUGUGACCUACCCAUGAGCAGGUUGAAGGUGAGGUAAAACUCACUGGAGGACCGAACCAGGGCACGUUGAAAAGUGCUUGGAUGACUUGUGGGUAGCGGAGAAAUUCCAAACGAACUUGGAGAUAGCUGGUUCUCUCCGAAAUAGCUUUAGGGCUAGCGUCGAUGUUAAGUCUCUUGGAGGUAGAGCACUGUUUGGGUGAGGGGUCCAUCCCGGAUUACCAAUCUCAGAUAAACUCCGAAUGCCAAUGAAUUAUGGUCGGCAGUCAGACUGCGAGUGCUAAGAUCCGUAGUCGAAAGGGAAACAGCCCAGACCACCAGCUAAGGUCCCAAAAUAUAUGUUAAGUGGAAAAGGAUGUGGGGUUGCACAGACAACUAGGAUGUUAGCUUAGAAGCAGCUAUUCAUUCAAAGAGUGCGUAAUAGCUCACUAGUCGAGUGACCCUGCGCCGAAAAUGUACCGGGGCUAAAACAAUUUACCGAAGCUGUGGAUACCUUUAUAGGUAUGGUAGGAGAGCGUUCUAUGUGCGAAGAAGGUGUACCGUGAGGAGUGCUGGAGCGCAUAGAAGUGAGAAUGCCGGUAUGAGUAGCGAAAGACAGGUGAGAAUCCUGUCCACCGUAAGACUAAGGUUUCCAGGGGAAGGCUCGUCCGCCCUGGGUUAGUCGGGACCUAAGGAGAGACCGAAAGGUGUAUCCGAUGGACAACAGGUUGAUAUUCCUGUACUAGAGUAUAUAGUGAUGGAGGGACGCAGUAGGCUAACUAAACCAGACGAUUGGAAGUGUCUGGCCAAGCAGUGAGGUGUGAUAUGAGUUAAAUGCUUAUAUCUAUAACAUUGAGCUGUGAUGGGGAGCGAAGUUUAGUAGCGAAGUUAGUGAUGUCACACUGCCGAGAAAAGCUUCUAGCGUUAAUUAUACUCUACCCGUACCGCAAACCGACACAGGUAGUCGAGGCGAGUAGCCUCAGGUGAGCGAGAGAACUCUCGUUAAGGAACUCGGCAAAAUGACCCCGUAACUUCGGGAGAAGGGGUGCUGGCUUAAAGUCAGCCGCAGUGAAUAGGCCCAAGCAACUGUUUAUCAAAAACACAGCUCUCUGCUAAAUCGUAAGAUGAUGUAUAGGGGGUGACGCCUGCCCGGUGCUGGAAGGUUAAGAGGAGUGCUUAGCGUAAGCGAAGGUAUGAAUUGAAGCCCCAGUAAACGGCGGCCGUAACUAUAACGGUCCUAAGGUAGCGAAAUUCCUUGUCGGGUAAGUUCCGACCCGCACGAAAGGCGUAAUGAUUUGGGCACUGUCUCAACGAGAGACUCGGUGAAAUUUUAGUACCUGUGAAGAUGCAGGUUACCCGCGACAGGACGGAAAGACCCCAUGGAGCUUUACUGCAGUUUGAUAUUGAGUAUCUGUACCACAUGUACAGGAUAGGUAGGAGCCUAUGACCUCGGGACGCCAGUUUCGAGUGAGGCGUUGUUGGGAUACUACCCUUGUGUUAUGGCCACUCUAACCCGGAUAGGUGAUCCCUAUCGGAGACAGUGUCUGACGGGCAGUUUGACUGGGGCGGUCGCCUCCUAAAAGGUAACGGAGGCGCCCAAAGGUUCCCUCAGACUGGUUGGAAAUCAGUCGCAGAGUGUAAAGGUAUAAGGGAGCUUGACUGCGAGAGCUACAACUCGAGCAGGGACGAAAGUCGGGCUUAGUGAUCCGGUGGUUCCGCAUGGAAGGGCCAUCGCUCAACGGAUAAAAGCUACCCUGGGGAUAACAGGCUUAUCUCCCCCAAGAGUUCACAUCGACGGGGAGGUUUGGCACCUCGAUGUCGGCUCGUCGCAUCCUGGGGCUGUAGUCGGUCCCAAGGGUUGGGCUGUUCGCCCAUUAAAGCGGCACGCGAGCUGGGUUCAGAACGUCGUGAGACAGUUCGGUCCCUAUCCGUCGCGGGCGUAGGAAAUUUGAGAGGAGCUGUCCUUAGUACGAGAGGACCGGGAUGGACUGACCUCUGGUGCACCAGUUGUUCCGCCAGGAGCACAGCUGGGUAGCUAAGUCGGGAAGGGAUAAACGCUGAAAGCAUCUAAGCGUGAAGCCCACCUCAAGAUGAGAUUUCCCAUAGCAUAAGCUAGUAAGACCCCUUGAAGAACACGAGGUUGAUAGGUCAGAGGUGUAAGUGCAGUAAUGUAUUUAGCUUACUGAUACUAAUAGAUCGAGGACUUGACCAA
rnacentral:rRNA from 1 species